GUUGUAUGGUUAAGUGACUAAGCGUACACGGUGGAUGCCUUGGCAGUCAGAGGCGAUGAAAGACGUAGUAACUUGCGAUAAGCCCAGAUUAGGUAGUAACAACCAUUUGAGUCUGGGAUUUCUGAAUGGGGAAACCCACGUGCAUAAGCACGUAUCGUUAUGUGAAUACAUAGCAUAACGAGGCGAACCGGGGGAACUGAAACAUCUAAGUACCCCGAGGAAAAGAAAUCAACCGAGAUUCCGAAAGUAGCGGCGAGCGAAAUUGGACUAGCCCUUAAGCUUUACACGCGUUAGACGAACGGUCUGGAAAGUCCGACGAUACAGGGUGAUAGUCCCGUAGUUGACGACGUGUGUUCAGUGAAAUCGAGUAGGGCGGGACACGUGAUAUCCUGUCUGAAUAUGGGGGGACCAUCCUCCAAGGCUAAAUACUACUGACUGACCGAUAGUGAACCAGUACCGUGAGGGAAAGGCGAAAAGAACCCCUGUGAGGGGAGUGAAAUAGAACCUGAAACCGUGUACGU
rnacentral:rRNA from 1 species